UGGAGUAGUCCUAUGAAAUAUCCAAGUGAAGAUGAUGUUUAUCUUAAGUUAGGAGACAGAAGCAGGAAUUAGCUACACAAACAAGGCAGGAAAGGGCCUUCCAGGUAGAAGAAAUAGGGCACAUAAAGGAAUGAAUUAUGAGAUCACAGGGCACUGCCUGCCCAACUAAGGAGAGGCUUGUGUAGAGGUAAGAGAAGUAAAGUUAUCAGGCGUCAAGGCUCAAGUGUAACUCAUGGAAACCACCGAAGAAUUUCAAACAAAGAAGCAAUUUGAUCAGAUUGUGAUCUUCGAAAGCCAGUUUUGAGGGUGGGGAGGAGGAAAUGUGCGAAGACUGAAGGGCUAACGUCUAAUUUUCACAGGAUGAACAUCAAAAUCAACUUUUCAAAGGAAACAGCGCAGACGUCCCAGCACAGCACUUACAGGCUAUUUUUCUGCCACUAAAAAUGACGACUAGAAAUGAGGUGGAGAAUCCCCACUAUAUAAAGCUGACCCAGGAAGCAGUUAAUCCAUAACUGUGUAUACAUGGGAGGAACCAAAUCUGAAAAAACAGCACUCUGUCCACACUACUGAUCAAGGAGAAUGCCUUACUGCUUGAGAGCUGCGAUGUUUCUACCCGGUGGAAAGAUGAGUAAAAGCUGCUAUUUCUAACUGGGAAGACCCACAAAGUGGUCUCGGGAGAACAGGCUUGAGUUGCACUUGGGUAAGAAAAAUUACAAUAAACUGAGAGACAGAGCAAAGGGAGACUGAGGUUAGCAAGGGUACAUGGUUUUGUUUGUGGCACACACAGUGGGCACACAAUAAGUAUUUACUGAGUGAAUGGAUGAAUAUGUAAACGACUCACCUAAUAAAAGAUUGAGGGAAUGAAGGAAAGGUAAAGGCAGAGAUGUGACAGGUCAUUUGGUUUGGGUUUGACCCAU